rnacentral:rRNA from 1 species
AACUAAACAUAGCUUAAUAAAUUAAAUAUCAUAAAACUACUAUUACAUAAUUUAAAUAAAUCAUUUAUAUAUUAAAGUAUAGGUGAUAGAAAUUAUAUUCAACGCCAUAGAGAGAGUACCGUAAGGGAAAAAAUGAAAGAA